UUCUUUCGCUCGUGAAUUGUGUGCUUUUUUUUUUUUGCUGUUUGCGGACUUUUCGAAAGAAGAUUAAAGAUUCUUUAGGUAAAUCUUAGUCCAUAUUGACCCUAGACGUAAGAAUUUAUAUAAUAUUACUUAGAGAAUCGGUCCCAGAAGACAUCUCGGCCCAUCGUUCGAUGAUCGGCCGUUUUCGUUUUCGAUUAGAAUCUUUUAAAUUUAAUUAAAAAGGGAACUGCGAAUGGAGAUGGAGUGGCUCCGGAGGAGAUUCCGACGGAGGAACGCGGUGGCGCCGGAGGAAGGGAGUUCCUCGGACGGCUCUGACGAGACGUUCGAGGACCCGGGGCUCGACUGCGUCUCUGCCGAAUCGAUUAGUAUGGCGUCGUUUGAGACCGUCGAGCGAGAGGCAGCGGGUGGUAACGACCUUCCCCGAGUGCGUGUGGUGUGGCACUCUCCCGGAGGCGGGAGAGUUCUGAGUCCAUUCCACUUGGCCAAGGUCGUCAGGGGUCAGUCGGCCACAGGCCUUGUUGUGGAAGAUGUAGGGAGUGAUGUCUCGUCCGAGUCUUCUUCUUGGAGUACGAUAUCGCUCCCUCUUGUCGGGAGUUCUGCCUCUUUGUCCGUGACGGGGAUGCCAUCGCUUUCCGGAAGUCCGAACGGGGAGGAAUCGGAGGAGAGUGCCGUCGGAGUCGAGGGACCGUGGUGUCUGCGGUUCUGUUGCUGAGGGUGGCUGCGGUUCCUUUGGCCUAAGCGGUGAUCCUCUUCGAUUUUUCCCAAUUCGUCCUUCUUCACUCGGAUGGGACAUUCUUACCGGAUUCGACACUUUUCACCCGGACUCGACACCUUUUCCCGGACAUGACCGUCUCUUACCAGGAUGCGACCCCACGGACUUGUCUGCCGAACGUGACACUCGGUCGACGACGACGGAUUUGACUCCCGAUUGUGACGACGCAGACGUGACACAAUCGGGUUUUUUUUCACCGGACGCGACAUUCGGCCGACCUUUCUUCCUAAACAGGCAUUAUGAGGAUUGAGCUUUCGGUUAGGUUAGGUUAGGCUAGGUUAAGUCCUUUGCUCUUCUCAUGACACUGUUCGGGAAAAAAGAUUGUCUGAUAAAGGUAGUUAUGUUGACCUUAGAUAAUAAAUGAAUGAACUUCUCGCUUUCUCACUGUCUUUGUGUUUUGUAGGAACAUUUGGGAGGGAGAAUCUCCCUCCCCAAGUUUACCACGAAGAGGAUGACUUGGCCAUUCAUCAUACAAGUGAAUAUUUUCCGAAAUUUCCGAUAACAUGCCGAAGAUGUUCUUGGACAUCACACAAAUAUAUACACACACACACGGACAUAACAUCAUUGUACAUGAAGGUAUAUACACCGUUUAAUCUUUACUCGAAUUCUCGCACUCACGCACUUACACGUCAAGCGCCUGGUUCUCUGUAAUUCGACACAAUGAAACAACCCGAACACUCGCUUCCCACAAAUCCAACCCCUGGGUCCUCGUCCCGGAAAGUGGAAACGCCAAUUUUAAAGACUAAAAGCUUUAAAUUGGCGG